AUUGAACGCUGGCGGCAGGCUUAACACAUGCAAGUCGAGCGGAGAUGAGGUGCUUGCACCUUAUCUUAGCGGCGGACGGGUGAGUAAUGCUUAGGAAUCUGCCUAUUAGUGGGGGACAACAUUCCGAAAGGAAUGCUAAUACCGCAUACGUCCUACGGGAGAAAGCAGGGGAUCUUCGGACCUUGCGCUAAUAGAUGAGCCUAAGUCGGAUUAGCUAGUUGGUGGGGUAAAGGCCUACCAAGGCGACGAUCUGUAGCGGGUCUGAGAGGAUGAUCCGCCACACUGGGAACUGAGACACGGCCCAGACUCCUACGGGAGGCAGCAGUGGGGAAUAUAGGACAAUGGGGGGAACCCUGAUCCAGCCAUGCCGCGUGUGUGAAGAAGGCCUUAUGGUUGUAAAGCACUUUAAGCGAGGAGGAGGCUACUGAGACUAAUACCCUUGGAUAGUGGACGUUACUCGCAGAAUAAGCACCGGCUAACUCUGUGCCAGCCGCCGCAGUAACAC
rnacentral:rRNA from 1 species